rnacentral:rRNA from 1 species
AAGAUGGCGACCGGCGCACGGGUGAGUAACACGUAUCCAACCUGCCGAUAACUCCGGAAUAGCCUUUCGAAAGAAAGAUUAAUACCGGAUGGCAUACGAAUAUCGCAUGAUAUUUUUAUUUAAAGAAUUUCGGUUAUCGAUGGGGAUGCGUUCCAUUAGUUUGUUGGCGGGGUAACGGCCCACCAAGACAACGAUGGAUAGGGGUUCUGAGAGGAAGGUCCCCCACAUUGGAACUGAGACACGGUCCAA